CAUUCACGCGCGUCCGUUACAGUUCGUCGCACCCGUCUAUACCCACGAGGGAGGCCAGGACCCCAAAUCUCCAAUUCGAUUCGACGCGAUCCCUUCUAUCCCGCUAGAAUUCCAUCUAGGCACGGCCUCCCGCCCGCCGGAUCCCGAGUUGGCGGUGGCUGGGCUACGCGCUGGAACUGGAACCCGGCGCCGCGGCGGAGCAUGGUGGCCGCCUGCCCGGGAGGCGUCAAACGGUCAGAGAGAGGCACCGGGCGCUUCUCCUCGGCCGCCGCCGCGGCCGUCAACACCUCCUCGUCCAGCCUUCUUCCCCAUAGACAUAGGGUAGACGGGGAGCAGAGGAGCAGCCCGCAGAUCAGGAGGAGGAGCAGAUCCGGGUUCAGCGGUGGCUGCAGCCAUGGGACGCUAGGAUGAUCCAGGGGGACCUUGAUGCAAGCGGAUGCCGAAUCUCUCUGGUGCGGCGCGGUGGCCGUACGUCAGGGAGAGGCACCGGGCGGGCGCUUCUCCUCGGCCGCCGACGCCGCAGCAGCCCGUACGUUACCUUCCUCGUCCAGCCGUCUUCCUCCGAGAUCUGAUUGGUUGGAGGACACAGGGUAGAGGAGGAGCACGAGGAGGAGCAGAUCCAAGUUCUGCCCUGCGAUGCUGGCUGCAGCCAUGGGACGCUAUGUCGAUCUAGGGGAGGCGAUUGAUGCCACCGGAUGCCCCAUGAGGUUUGCCUUAAACUUUGAUUUUUAGCAUGUGGGAACUGAAAGUCUGAAACUUGUACCAAGUUUCCAUGUCGCACGAAAACUUGCACCGCGGAGAAUAUUUCUCUUUGGUAUCACGAUAGGCGGAAUGCUCAGUCUUACUUUGAUGCUCGGCCACACGAGCCAUCAUGGACUGAAUAUUGAAAUAGUACCGUAUUGUAUUAUAGUAAACUGGAAAGAUUCUGCAAUGGCCACACAUAUCUUUGCCGUCUUGACUAGAGUAUAGGUUACUGAUAAUAUCGUUGCUUAAGAGCAUCUCUAAAGCGGACCCUCAAAGUCCACGUAUAUAUCCGGACCACAAUGUUUGGAUCAGCUUUUGUCAUUCAAUACGAACUCGUAUGUCCAUGGACCAGUCCGCAUGUUCGAAAUCCCGAGUGAGGGGGCUAUGCGGGAGUCCGAACAUCCUCUUGACCAACAAAAAGCUACCACGUGCCUACGCUACCACCCAUUCCGUUCUCCCCUCUCUCCUCCAAAAGCAAGAGGAGCAGCGAUGCAUACAGGGACCACGCACCCACUUGCCCUCUCCUCCUUUCUCCCAUUGCAAUUUCUCUCACGAAAUUUGCAAGUAGCUUUGGAUGGUUGCCUUCCGCAUCUUGUCCGCGUACCACGUCCGGACACGUUUGAGGACAUUUGUAGUGUCUGUUUUAGGGAUUUGCACUGGAGGCGCCCUCAGGCUGCUUAUUACCAAGUGGAAUUUGCGGGUUCGAUUUUAAUUAGAGGCCAUUUAAGUUUGUUUGUUUUUCUCCGUAGUUUUUUUUCUUAAGAAACCAGGAGUUUUUUUCAUUUCAGUUCAAAAUUCGAAGUAAUCAUACUUGAAAUAGUAAACACUACUUGUCUUCUUUCCGUAUGUAGGAAACUUUCCUCGUUUGCAAUUUUUAGUCUAAUACUUCAUGAGGAAAUUUGUGGUAUUAGAACAACUCUAGCAGAGUUGUCAUAUCAAGCCAAACACAUAAUAACCUGUAUGGCAACUUUGACUAAAAAAAGUCGUUCUAGCAGAGUCGCCAUCCACCACUCCGAUUGCCAUAUGUUUGAAGGGAACACCGAAUCAAGACCUACCUCAAUAUUUGGAAGACGGGGAGAGGGACAUUUAGAGCGCACUCCAUCCCGAAAAUUGCUACUUGGCAUGAGCGACAUUUCCCCUCCCUCCCCUCUUCCCGCCCGCAACGCCACCUAACAUACCUCGUCGUAGCACAACCUCCGUUCGACCACAUGACAUGUCGAUGACACCAUGAACUCCGACACGACCCCUACAUCCCAUUCCUCCGGUGUCCCAUGGGAUCAUGCGCUUCCGCUCAUCCUACUCCUCCAUACUAUUCUGCGCAACCCCCCUCAACAUCACGUUGCCGAGGACACCACCUUGUUGGAUCUUCCAUCGACGAUGCAACCGCACAGGCUACGGACCCUCUGCUGUCAGGCAUCACCUCCAUCCUCCGACCUCCCCUGCAGCCACCACACGUGUUGGUCGCGCAACCGUAGCGAAGAACAAUACAAAAUGGAGGAAGAAGGCGAAUUUCAACUCCCCACUUUGUUCAAGCAGCUGUCAAAGCAUUGGCACCUUCAAACUUUGAAGCAUUUGGUGAUAUGCAAAGUUGGUAAAUAAAGCUCCUUUUUUUGUCCUUUGAUUUGUUUGCUUCAAUGCAAGGUGUUAGUAGAACAAUGGUGGCAACUGUGUAAUAUUUGUGCGUAGUGAUGCUUUUACGUAUUUCAGAGGAUUGCUUGUUAAUAAUGAAUCCUCCUUGAGGGGUAUGAUGCAAGAUUCAGUUUAGACCAAUGAUUUGAAUAGUAGAGACUUCUCUCUUCGUUAAAUGUUGUUGAGCACACUGGGUGGUCGGAUGCUGCGAGCAAAGAUGCGAAAUUGGAUCAAUUCCAUGCCUCCCAAUCUUCUAUGAAGAAAGCAUCUCCAGUUUCAAACUACAUCAAUGAAGAAGACCUUCUAUGUUGUUGGCAUGGCAUGAUACCACUCUGCAUGCGGUCGCCAAGAAUGGUCAAACUAGUGUAAAGUAUUGGAAGCGACCAAAAGAGAGUUCCAACCGUCGAGGAAGGUUUUUGGAGCAAGCAAGGAACUCAUCUCCUAGCAGUGUUAGCAUUAACAAUAUGGGAUAGCCCAGGAAAGGUACAAACAAAUGCCGAGGGUGAAGGGGAAAGCAUUUGGCCUCUGGCCUCGUUGAAAAGAAUUAGAGGGCAAUUUGAAGAGGAAAUAGAGGAAUGAGGAGGCUCCAGCGUUCAAACAAAUGAGUCAAUCCAUUGACGCCAUUUUGUUGGAAAGCCUUUCAUUUGCAUAUAUUGUUGCAAGAAUGGCCAUUUAAAUUUGUUGUAGGCCUUUCCAAAAUCUACUUUGAAGAUAGCUAUGUCAAGUUUUGUCGACCACAACAUAUGGAUCCUUUCAUGUAAUACAACAAUCCCAUCCAGGAUGUGUCACCCUGGCAUGAACGUCGUCUGUGUCGUUCUAUACACAUUGUGAGCGAUCACCGAUUAGCUGUCACUUUAGAAUAAUGGAAAAAAUACAAAAAAAUGAAAUUAUACAAAGCCAAAUCCCCAUUGUAUAAUUCAACAAACAUACACACAAAAUCCUUUUUAUGACUCGCAAGAAGCACUGAUAGAACUCCUCAUCGAACCCAUUUGGUCCCGACGCUUUAUUCUGAUCCAUCUAUGAGAUAGCUUCACAAACUUCUUUGUAAGAAAAUGGGGCUUGCAGGAUGGCAUUCUUCUCCGUCGAUAGCUAAGGAUUGUUACCUCUGACAUCCUGAUCAAGUAGGGGAUAAUCGGAGAUAGGGGAACUAAAAAGCAAUUUAUAAAAUUAGUAAUGCGGAUUUUAAUUAAGUCGGUCCUCACCAACGAUAGUGCCAUCAUCCGGUUCUAGCUGGAUUUUUUACCACUAGCGAUAAUAUGGAGUCAUCAGAAUUAUGUAAAAAAGAAAUAUGUUGGUGCUUGAUGUGGCGUCUGUUGCAUGUUUUUCUUCAAGUUCAUCCAAUGGUUUCUUGGAAUGCGACCAUUUAUAUCGAGUUAUAGCUGGAACUUGGAAUAGGACUAGUAGAUACUGUUCUUGUUACUUAGCUAUAUUUUUUAUACAAAUAUAAUAUUGUCUACUAUACAUGAUUUGGACUUUCUAGACAAUUCCUUAAUAGACAGCUUGAGCCAAACUGCACAUGUACUUAUGAUAGUGAAAGAUGGACUCCAGGAUAUCGAAUAGAUACAGAAAUUGAAGUAAAACAUAAUUUUAUCUCAGUAUUCCUUGCCUAAACAUUUUUCGGUGUCAAUACAAAUCCCUGGAGCCAAUGCUUUGUGUUCUUCUGCAUUUACCCGAGUCACAGCCCCAUGUUCCUUAAUAUCCAUCUCAAAACAGACAACAACAUAGAUGUGAGAUAAUCUUUCAUAACUUGCCCUAUCACUGUUGUAGAAAUUAUCAUGAUCCACCCCAAAAAAGAAGAAAUUAUCAUCAUGAUGACUUUUAUAAGUAAAACAUAAAGUUAUUAUAGUAAAAUCAUAUUCUAGGGAUUUCUCUGAAUUUCUUUGACGUAGUGGUGCAUGGAUUUUGCUGAGUAAAUUAGAUACCUAGGUGUGCAUGCAAGACAGUACCAGAGAUGAUCAACCGUAUAUUAUCUAAAAUAUGCUAUUAUGUCUUAUAAUCCCUCCACUACCAUAAUAACGUCACUCUAGACAUUGAAGGUCUCCCAUAUACAAGCUUGACAACAAAUUUUAUAGUCAAAUAUUUUGUGAAAUCUUACAAAAUUUUAUAUGGAGAAUGUUGUGUACAUGCACAAGUGGGUGUAGUGUGAACAUAUCAAAUGAAGUGAAGGAAUAUGUGCUCCGGGUGCACCAAGGUACUUUGGACCAUUAGAUGUAUAUCUGACGGAUGUAAGCUAGCUGGGAAAUGGAUUGUUGGCACAUUAGCAACAAAACCCUCACGCAUUAUAAAAAUCAGCCCACACUCCACCAUUUUCUCCUCUCAUCAUAUUUGUAAUUUCUUUCUCCAAACAUAUGAAUGACCAUAUAUGUUGAACCUUAUAUCCUAAUUUAGAUUUGGUUUGAGCAUCAUCUUUGUUUUUAUGAGAUGUUCAAAACAAGGCUAAUGUUGGAUAUUAUUAUUAUUAUUUUGAGACUUGACCGCAACAUUCAUAAGUUCCAAGUGAAACAAAAAGAUAUUAAUCAGUAUUAAUCUUGUUUCAAGCAUCACGUCAAAACAAAUAUUAUAGCCAGAACGCAUCCAAAAUCAAACAUUUUGUUAAAAAAUAUAUAACCCUUUUUAUGUCUAGAACAAAAAAUUAAACAAAUAUAUUUAUGGAUGUGAGAGUAAGAUGUAGUGUGUGGAUUGGAUUCAAAAAAACAGAGGAGAAAUUUUCAAAUAUGUCAACAAUCCAUCUUCCAGCCCGACCACAUUCCUCAGAUUUCCAUCCAAUGGCUCAAAAUCACGUGGUUAACUAGGUGCAUAGAUUUUCCCGUUUCACAUGAUAUGUUCUCGACAUCAAGUUCAUUUUCUCAUGUGGGUGAGCCUCUGAUGGUGAGGGCCCACUUGGCAGAGGGCAUGUGCACUGACGUAGGCCACUAGUCAGUCUCAAACACUUAAAAUCAUUUCCUGCACAAAUUCUUGCUGUAAAAUCGUAGAAAUGAAAAGUGGACAAUUAUGAAAACCCUACCGGCGAAGACAUAACUUGAAAGCAAUCUCGAAAAAUGUGUGUUAUCUAUACAAAUCAAUAUACAUACAAUAUGGCAGCAUCUCUAAUAUAUAAAAAAUGGAUCAUAAGCAAUAAAUGCAACUUGAAACUUUAGACAAAUACAUAGAUACACUUACAAGGUGAAGAAAACACGCUAAUGUUGUUAGGAUACACGAGUAAGAUUGCAAAAAUUAAUUGGAGUGAAUGUUGAAAACCGUACCAAUGAAGGCAUAACAUUAAAGCUAUCUAGAAAUGUUAGUACUUAUAAAAUAUCAUUGUCCAUGAUGUGCCGACCAUCUAUGAGGUAGAAAUAUAUAGAUCUUGAGUGAUAAGUUUAGGUUGUAGCUCAAGGGUCUAGACCUAAAUAUUAUAGAUAUAACAUGAAUGCGCCUUAAAAUAAAGGAAUUCUUAGAGCCUUUUUCAUACCCGUAUUGCUAUUUGUAGUUUGCCUCAUGUUUUAUCUUUUUUUGUAUCGUUAAACACUGAGUUAAAAUGUUUGAUUUAUUGUGCGAUUAAGCAAUAUUUUGUAUGUUUUCACAUGACGUCUUGGGGUAUUUUUUGGGUAGUUAUACACGGUAAGGUUUUUCAUACUCAUAGAAAUAUAUUGUGACGUUCCUGGCUCGGCCACCGAAAGCCAAGCAAAUAUAAUGAGAUAUAUAAUAACGCAACACUUGUACAAUCAAUUAAAAUUUAUUAUUUUACAGAAAAUGAUGGUUCACAUGUACAAGUGUUUCUAUUAGGUGGGCUCUAUCUUAAGACUUGGACAUGGUCUUAGUGAUUGCUAUAGUUUCUAGGUUUUGUGUUGAAAGUAACAUUUUCAGUGUUUUAUUCGUACGAGGUGUGGCAUGUUUUAAAUUCCACUUUAAAUUUAGGCAUGGGAAGUGCCAUAAAGGACCUACUAUAAAAUUAUUUCUAAGGAUUAAAUUAUACUAACAUCUUAGGAAAUUUCCACCAUCCAAAAAAGUGCAAAGGUUUCUAACUUUGCAUGCCAAACUUCCAAUCAAAUUCAUGUAAAAUUAUUCCAUUUAAAACUAUCUCAAAUUUUAAAUUUGAUAAUUUAUGGAAUACACUUUUGAUAAGUUACCAAUACAGUUUCUCCAUCCAGCUUCCUUUGCCACAAAAUAUACCUAACAUGCCAAAUAAUUCAAUUAUAGAAAAUUCGAAAAACAAAGUACUAUUAUUGGAUUUUGUAAUAUACCUGAGAUUCUACAACUUACUGAAAUUUCAUAAAACCAAAUAUAUAGAUGAAAAUCACUGUAAAUACGACACCACCGUCUCAUCAAAAUAAGAAACAAUCAUCACCUACCAGCCCCACAACACGGGGAGAUCAGCCACAAAACACACCCACCCAUCUGAAUAAAAUGCAUAGUUUUCGUAUAUCGUAUAAACAUAGAAAUAACCCAGAUCCACACGGUCAUUCAUUAUCAAGCAUAAGAAAGUACAUAACCAGGGUCUCAUCAGUGGCACAUGCAUGUGUACCAUUGUUUUGACCAACAUCCUUUUAGGAACAUGACGAGCUCGUCGUAGGGCUUGUCUUCGAUGGUAUGUUGCUCGAGGUUGUUCAUGAACUGCAAUAGAGUGGAGAAUGCAUUAUCCUGGAGGCAAGCGAUGCUACCAUGGUGCUCGACAACCUCAGUCAAGUACCCUUCACCGUUCACGAUGGUGAGGAGGGUAGUGAAGUCAGGUGGUUGAAGGUUCAGGAUCCCGUCAUAGGGGUUUAUCUCAUUCCAUGAGAAGUAGACACUAGUGCUUGCCUGUGUUUAAGAUAAUCGUAAAAUCUUAAAGUAUUAGCUCAGUGGUAUAGAGAUUCAAAAUGUAUUCUAAUUGGUAAACUAGGUUCCAAUUUAUUUUAUUAAGCUAGCUAUUGUCAAAUGCUUUUGAAUGUAGUUGUUGUUUCUUGUAUGUAAACAAGGAGAAUUUACCUGGCCACGACUGAUGUCACAAGCCUCAGAGGCUUGUGGUCCCUCGCCUGAUCGAUAUGCCACAAACCAUGUGUAUUAUCAAUAAAAAUAUUCAAGUGAACUAAGACCAAAAGGUUGUCACAAAUAACUAAAACACCUUUAAACAGUAUUAAAAAAACAUAGGACUUAUUAAACUAGAAAGAUCUGUCGAAUCCCUUCAACCAAACCUAUGUUUAGUUCUCUAUGAAACCCGCCAUCAGUUUGAAAGAUCUGUCGAAUCCCUUCAACCAAACCUAUGUUUAGUUCUCUAUGAAACCCGCUAUCAGUUUGGUUAAAGGGAUUCGACAGAUAAUGAGUCCUAGAUUUUUUUUGUUAUACUGGUU